GACGAACGCUGGUGGCGUGCUUAACACAUGCAAGUCGAACGGAAAGGCCCUGCUUUUGUGGGGUGCUCGAGUGGCGAACGGGUGAGUAACACGUGAGUAACCUGCCCUUGACUUUGGGAUAACUUCAGGAAACUGGGGCUAAUACCGGAUAGGAGCUCCUGCUGCAUGGUGGGGGUUGGAAAGUUUCGGCGGUUGGGGAUGGACUCGCGGCUUAUCAGCUUGUUGGUGGGGUAGUGGCUUACCAAGGCUUUGACGGGUAGCCGGCCUGAGAGGGUGACCGGCCACAUUGGGACUGAGAUACGGCCCAGACUCCUACGGGAGGCAGCAGUGGGGAAUAUUGCACAAUGGGCGGAAGCCUGAUGCAGCAACGCCGCGUGCGGGAUGACGGCCUUCGGGUUGUAAACCGCUUUCGCCUGUGACGAAGCGUGAGUGACGGUAAUGGGUAAAGAAGCACCGGCUAACUACGUGCCAGCAGCCGCGGUGAUACGUAGGGUGCGAGCGUUGUCCGGAUUUAUUGGGCGUAAAGGGCUCGUAGGUGGUUGAUCGCGUCGGAAGUGUAAUCUUGGGGCUUAACCCUGAGCGUGCUUUCGAUACGGGUUGACUUGAGGAAGGUAGGGGAGAAUGGAAUUCCUGGUGGAGCGGUGGAAUGCGCAGAUAUCAGGAGGAACACCAGUGGCGAAGGCGGUUCUCUGGGCCUUUCCUGACGCUGAGGAGCGAAAGCGUGGGGAGCGAACAGGCUUAGAUACCCUGGUAGUCCACGCUGUAAACGGUGGGUACUAGGUGUGGGGUCCAUUCCACGGGUUCCGUGCCGUAGCUAACGCUUUAAGUACCCCGCCUGGGGAGUACGGCCGCAAGGCUAAAACUCAAAGGAAUUGACGGGGCCCCGCACAAGCGGCGGAGCAUGCGGAUUAAUUCGAUGCAACGCGUAGAACCUUACCUGGGUUUGACAUGGAUCGGGAGUGCUCAGAGAUGGGUGUGCCUCUUUUGGGGUCGGUUCACAGGUGGUGCAUGGCUGUCGUCAGCUCGUGUCGUGAGAUGUUGGGUUAAGUCCCGCAACGAGCGCAACCCUUGUUCACUGUUGCCAGCACGUUAUGGUGGGGACUCAGUGGAGACCGCCGGGGUCAACUCGGGGGAAGGUGGGGAUGACGUCAAGUCAUCAUGCCCCUUAUGUCCAGGGCUUCACGCAUGCUACAAUGGCUGGUACAGAGAGUGGCGAGCCUGUGAGGGUGAGCGAAUCUCGGAAAGCCGGUCUCAGUUCGGAUUGGGGUCUGCAACUCGACCUCAUGAAGUCGGAGUCGCUAGUAAUCGCAGAUCAGCAACGCUGCGGUGAAUACGUUCCCGGG
rnacentral:rRNA from 1 species